GCGUCUGCCCCGGCUUUGGCACAUCACUCGUAAUGAUGGGGUCACGUGUUCGAGUCACGUAAGCGGCACCA
rnacentral:tRNA from 1 species